GGUCCAGUAGCGGAUGGUCCGCGUCUGCACGAAUUAAAAAGUGCUCGCUUAGAUGUAAUGCAGAGGAUGCUCGUUCGACUCGAGCCUGGGCCA